rnacentral:rRNA from 1 species
UAGUCCACGCCGUAAACGAUGGAUGCUAGCCGUUGGGGCGUAAGCCUCAGUGGCGACGCUAACGCAUUAAGCAUCCCGCCUGGGGAGUACGGUCGCAAGAUUAAAACUCAAAGGAAUUGACGGGGACCCGCACAAGCGGUGGAGCAUGUGGUUUAAUUCGAGGCAACGCGAAGAACCUUACCAGGGCUUGACAUGCCGGUCGCGGAUCGCAGAGAUGCUUUCCUUCAGCUUGGCUGGACCGUGCACAGGUGCUGCACGGCUGUCGUCAGCUCGUGUCGUGAGAUGUUGGGUUAAGUCCCGCAACGAGCGCAACCCUCAUCCUUAGUUGCUACCAUUUAGUUGAGAACUCUAAGGAAACUGCCGGAGUUAAUCCGGAGGAAGGGUGGGGAUGACGUCAAGUCUUCGUGGCCCUUACGUCCUGGGGCUACACACGUGCUACAAUGGCGGGU